rnacentral:pre_miRNA from 1 species
UGGCAGUGUAGUUAGCUGGUUGUCUUCCGCCGUAUUAAUUUACAACCACUUACUCCUCUGCCUUA